GCACGUGCCAGAUCGAUAGCUCUUUCAAGGACUGGGCUUGGGCUAGUGAACCAUCCUUGGCCCAGUAAUGGCCCAUAUACGAAUUCCUCGUGGUUUCUUCCGCUUAUUCCAUCUCCCAGCGAGGUCUCAGUAAUGGCUGAAUCAGCGAGGAACCCGACAGGAAAUGAUUGGAAACAAGAACAAAAUGAUGACGAUGAUGAUGAUGAUGAUGAUGAUGAUGAUGAUGAUGAUGAAGAAGGUUAGAUGGAGACCUCUCUCAAUUCCUUCCUCCUGUAGCCUACAACUUUUCUGCACUCUCUGCGAAAAUGGUCAGCGUGUGAUUCUGUAACAAUCCUCGAGAACAUUUAAUUACUCUAUUUGUGAUUAAGGUGAAUAAAUCUACGUUUAUAUGUUUUUUAGCAAC
rnacentral:lncRNA from 1 species